UGUGAAAAGAAGAUGAAACAACAUUAAAUCGAGUCACAGUCCUGAAGGAGAGAAGAGGAACUGUGUGAAGUUAUGCCAAAUAUUAAAAAAAAAGAAACCAAUGCAACAAGACAAAGCAACCAGCCUCCCACACUUGUGCUGAAUUCAGAAGGAAUUCAGUGUCUUCUGAAUGCAAUGAUAAAUGCUUAUGAACACAGAAGAGACCCCUAGAACAAACUGGAAAAUCCUGGAGCAGAGAUGUAGCUCAGAAAAUCAGGCAGGAGCAGAUUCUGUCCUUCCUAAAUCUGUCUUCUCCACUAGCCUUGCGGACUUGGAACAAUAAAGCCGGUAAAAGUCACAUGGCAAGAGGAUCCACGUUUCCAAGACAGCCGUUCUGAGGGUGCUGAUGAGCCUGAGACGUGAGAAAUUGAAAAGGACCGAGAAAUGCAAGUUUCUUUCUUUACCACGCACAGGGAGUGCUGGAGUUUUCUUUUUCUCCAAAGAUGAUGAAUGCCCAAGAGGUAAUUGCCUAAUAGGAAUCUGGACUUUUAGAGCUUACCAAAACAUUAGCCACUUGACAGUUUACCUAGAUAUUUUGGAUCCUUUCAGAGGGCCCAAAGUUAUUUUGUAGAUCAGCAGAGCUCAGUGAAGAGAAAGAGAGUUGGGAAGACAGACGUAGAUUGUUGCUUGAGGAGCAGCUACUUAACUAUAUGUCAAGAAUGUAUUUAAGAGAAAGAGUGAAUUUAGAGACUUCUCCUAACAGUGGAUUCAGAACCUUCUCCGAAGAAUUGGUUAGAUUUUCAUUAUUUUCCGGAAUGCUGAAGGAAGCAUAAGGAUACCAGAUAGAAAGUACAAAGAAACCAAUAAACCUUUUACUGAUUAGAA